rnacentral:rRNA from 1 species
GACAGAGGUGCCGAGCGUUAGGCGGAAUCACUGGGCUUAAAGCGUGUGUAGGCGGGCGGGCAAGUACCUUGUGAAAUCCCACGGCUCAACCGUGGAACGGCUGGGUAUACUGCCUGUCUUGAGCCAACUAGGGGCGAGCGGAACAGACGGUGGAGCGGUGAAAUGCGUAGAUAUCGUCUGGAACGCCAAAGGUGAAAACAGCUCGCUGGGGUUGUGCUGACGCUGAGACGCGAAAGCGUGGGGAGCGAACAGG